rnacentral:rRNA from 1 species
GUGGGGAAUUUUGGACAAUGGGCGCAAGCCUGAUCCAGCAAUGCCGCGUGUGUGAAGAAGGCCUUCGGGUUGUAAAGCACUUUUGUCCGGAAAGAAAUCUCCUGGGUUAAUACCUCGGGGGGAUGACGGUACCGGAAGAAUAAGCACCGGCUAACUACGUGCCAGCAGCCGCGGUAAUACGUAGGGUGCGAGCGUUAAUCGGAAUUACUGGGCGUAAAGCGUGCGCAGACGGCUAUGCAAGACAGAUGUGAAAUCCCCGGGCUCAACCUGGGAACUGCAUUUGUGACUGCAUGGCUAGAGUGCGUCAGAGGGAGGUGGAAUUCCGCGUGUAGCAGUGAAAUGCGUAGAGAUGCGGAGGAACACCGAUGGCGAAGGCAGCCUCCUGGGAUGACACUGACGCUCAUGCACGAAAGCGUGGGGAGCAAACAGGAUUAGAUACCCGGGUAGUCC